ensembl:lncRNA
AUGCAAAUCUUAUUUCUACUUACAGGUGUGCCCUUGGCAUAUGCUGGAGAGCGAUGGAAUCCACAGGUCGGGCUCUCAGAAAACAGAGAUUUCACGGACAGGGCUGUGCAGAGUGGCUGGUACCAUAUGGUACCACGUGGGGGCACUGAUACCUCACAGGACCGGAAAUGUGCUGUAGAGCACUUUUCAUUUUACUGUGAGAGCCAGCCACUCCUCCUGCGGCCAUCCCAAUCCUCUGUGAACCCUCCCUCGCCCGUGCCAGAUUCUUCUUCAGAAUCCUCAGUAGCCCUCUUGGUUUCCAUGACUACUGGAGGUAGGUGUUUUAUCCAUGUGAUUUGGUGCUCAAAACAGUGUUCACAGGGACAAGAGUUGAGCCCUUCAACACAGCAUUGUCAACCAAAGAAACAAAGGGCAGAAGCCGUGCCCCCUAAACAGCCUCCAGCCUCUUUUUAAACCACACCCUCUUCCUCAGUUCUGGUGGGUGGCCUGCUUUUCUAGGCAGAAAUCACCACCCACCUAUUGGAUCCCAGAAGUUCAGCCAUACUUGGGUUCUGCAUGUUCUUGCUCUACCAGAAAGCGGCAUCUCCUACUUGUUGAGGUUAGUCCUCCAUUUUCAGUAUGCCUCUGACCUGUGGUAUAUCUGCCAUUCUCUUAGCACAAGCUUUGAAGGUUGGAGAGCAUCUUCCAUCCCCAGCCAGGCUUUGAGCUCCUUGUGGAUAGGAAGGAUGCAGGUGCAAACUUAGUUUCAGCUCAGCCCGUUAGCUCCCAGUGGAGCACUCUCAUAGUGUCACAAAAAGCUUUGUGACUUUGUGACAUGAUCCUCACCUUUAGCCCAGUCCUUCAAGGUCAUGACACCUGACUUCUGGCUGACCAUAGCUCCUUCUACUAGUCAAUCAACUACAGUGAGCUGGGGCUGGGACUGAAGCUGAGAACAUGUCUGGAAGCUGGGAGAAAAGUAUGUUCCAGAAGUGAAAUGGAAAAAGUCGAUUAUCCUGGAGUCUUCAGACGGAGGACAGUGAACUGGCUCCCUUGGAGUUUUGCCCGUUUGGAUGUUGGCUCUGCAAGUUCCAUGCCAUGUGACAUGGGACUUUUCUAAGAAUGGGAUGGGGCUCUCAUUUUGUAUGCAUAAACUGAGUUACAGUACCUACCAAUUAAAGGGAAGUUUUAGAAAGAAAAUUCAACUAGGUGAUGCUUGGGCCCUUGCCACUGGGGCUGGCACAGCUUAGACAUAGCUAGGGGACAGUCACAUCAUUAUUGCUAGUGGCUCUCUUUCAACUGGAAGCAGAGUGGAAGUCUCUGGAUUGGAAAAUCCAAUCUGAGGCCCGACAAGUCACUGGGUGGGAAAUGGGUGUACAGCCAUGGGAACCGGGCAGAGUCUUAGUGAGAGAAAAACAGCUACCCAGAAACAGCUCAACCCCAGGCUCUCAGCCUCUGCUCUGCAAAUGACAACCAAGAAUCUGCUUUGAUUUUUCUCCAUUUUCCCCUUCUCCUUCCUUUAGGAUUUUUCAGGCUUGGGGAUUGAACCCAGGGCAUCUCACACGGACUUGGCCACUGAGUUACAUCUUCAGUUCUUACUGUUUAUGUUUGAAACAGAGUUACUAACUCUCUCAAGAUGCUCUUAAACUCACUCAAACAGGCUUUAAAUUUUUAGUCCUCCUGCCUCAGUCUCCACAGUAGCUGGGAUGACAGGUGUGGCUAAGAAUCUGAGUUUUCAACAAACUCAAUCCUCCCAUGGAGAAAGGUCCGGCUUAGCGUUUUUGGAAGUCCUUUUGUAAUCACACCAGGACCUUCUCUCCUUCUUCUCCAAGCUAAUGACCAUUUGCCUGCAGAUUGGGUAGACAUUGUGCGAGCAGAAAGUCCACAGAAACAUCGAAAGGUGGACCUCCCCUGGUUAGCCCUGUCCCCAGUAGGAUGUAGCAUCACUGAACUUCUCCUUUAUGCCCAGCAGAGGGCGAGCAUGUGCUAGUGCUGUGACCGUUCAAAUGGCACUGAGUUAUUUGCAAAGUAAAAAUCCUUCACCUGCUCCUAUAUGGAGUUCUGUCAGCCAGGUCUGGGUGGCAUUCCAGGGAUCCAGGGCAGGCACCUUCCUCCAGCUGGAUGUAGAUGUUUGGUCCCAGUACCUGGCUCCUUAGGCUCCUCACUCUUCAUCCAUGCACCUGCAUAGAGGUGGGUACCACCCACCAAUUAGCACCUAGAUUCUAGAGUAAAUCGAAAUGGAAUACUGAAUAGCAAUGUGUGACAAAGAUCAUCAAACAGAAAAGCCAUCUUUACAUGUCACUCUCGGGGAGAGCCCAGCUGGGCAACCCAGAGGGUCUGCAGAACCAUGUGGAUACAUCACAUCAUAACUCACAUGUGGUAGUGUGGAAAGAAGAGGCUCUUUCUUAUGAACCUUUUACCCAGCUCGUUGCCUAGGUUAUGGGAGGAGGCGGGAUAGCAUGUCUGAAGGAUCCUAGUCUCUGAAAACAGACUACUCAAACCCUAGGUUGGCCACACGUUAGUUGUGUGCCUUUGGGCAGGAAUCUAAACUUCUGGAGCUUCAGUUUACCUAUCUGUAAGAUGGAGGCUAUGGGAGCAUAAAUUGCCAACUAUUGUGUAUUGUUUAGAUGAUUUUAGAUUCAUAUAAUGUACUUGGCAUACAGUAGGUGCUAAACAGAUGCAUGGUUGCUGUCGUUUUUCUUUUCAGCUUUUCCUUGAGUAAAACAAGUAAACCGGACCCUUUCCAAAGUGAUAUCUGAAGUUCCAGGAGACAAGCAUGGAGAAAGAAGGCCCCUAGAAUGGACGCCCUCUCUCCUCCCUCUCCAGGUCUUCCUUCUGUAAGAACCUAUAUCAACUCCACUUCCAGUGUAUCUACUGCUACAGCAUCAUGUUCUUUCAUUGGUGGGCUGGUGUCCCACGUGUUCUGGCUGGGAAGGUAAGUGUCGUCCCUCGGAGGUUCAGGGCCUGGUAAAGCAGGGUUUUUCUUUGCUGGACAAAAUGACAGCUUAGGAGAUGAGUGUCUCUGUGCCAGCAUAGCAUGUCUCUGAGAUGGCCCUUCCCUGAGGUUAUGAGGCUAGGCCUUUGUUGUUGGGAGCAUCCUGGUUAUCUCUCCCAGAGGCUGGGAAAGUGGCUUUCCAGGAGCUCAGUCAACAGCCCAGAGAGUGAGAAAGAGUUAUUAUGCACUCACAGAGCAUCCUGCUUCCCAAUCCCUCCAUCAGGGCCUUAGAUGGCUCAUGCCAGAUCUCAGAUAGAACCUUAGUAGAGUUUCUAUCCACAGCUUUGCAAGGGUGUGCCCAGCUGUAAGGAGGCUGUUACCCACUUCUCUUUGGGUACAUCUUUAGAACUUGUACUGUGGAAUGGCAGCCUGGUUCUGUAUAUAGGGGAAGCAUUAUUCUUUCUUGCUUGGGCAGGUGAGAAAGACCUGUUAGCUCCAGGAGCCUGAACUGACCCCCAGCGAUGUUUUGGGUUAUGCCUGUGUCCUGAUACCUGACCAGGAACAAGCCUUUCUUAUCCCAGGGUCUUCCUUGGUCUCCUUACUUGUCAGAGUCUCAGUAGCUACCUCUUCUGUUCUUUGCGAUAACCAUAGUGAACAAGCAUGAUAGAGAACUUUUAACAGGUGCCCAGGCCUCAUUCUCAUCAUCUGCAACAUGGAUGCUUCAGCCAGCUCACCCCCCAAACACAAACAUGCUGUGACCCCUGGCUGCUGAUCAAACAUAGAAGCCUGAGUGCAUUGAGUGUGACCAUCAACAGGCACAUAUUGAUGACAGUAUGAGAUGUCCCUCCCAGGGACUUGGAGUCUCUUGGUUUGCCACCAAUGCUAGCAUGCCAAAACUGGGUGACACACGGGGACAGCUGAUGCAGAGAAGGGUCAGGAGGAUUCUGGAAUCAUGGGCUGGGUCUUGACAUUUUCUCUGAACAUUGGGAAAUCUUUCUUCUGCUUGUAGACAUGGUGUCUAGUCAAGGGACCCAGGGAAGGGUGUUGCCACUUUCUUAGGAUGAUGUCUGAUGCUCCUGCUCUCUGUCCUCCUGUUUCUUUGUUUUAGAUUCAGUUUGUGGCCAACUCUACUCAUGCUUUUUGCCAUCUCUUCACCAAGUACCCCUUUCCAAUGGACUCCAAAGCAACCAUCGUUUCUUCAUGUAUUUUGGCCUCAGCAUCCUUUUCUUUGGCUUCCACCAGCAGACAUCCCCAAGGGACCCUGGAAGAUGCCGAGAUAAAAAGUGGAACCAGGGACUGAUACUAACAGAGCUGUACUCCUGGAGACCCUGGCAGAGGACAGCAUAGCUCUUAGCAGAUUCCUGGAACUGCAGUUGGUUGGAUGAACAAUGUCCUCCCUUAUAGACUUGAGGAGGGAUGAAAUGGAUUAUGACUUCAUACCUACUUCUCACAUGGAUUUGUAACUAUUUGCUAACCUCCUGCUUCUACUAGACAUAGUCUUAUAAUGGAAGGGACUGUCACCUACUUCAUUUCAACAAAUGUGUCUCUAGGGCUCAGAUUCUGCAACUGGUGGUCAUGACCACCGGUAAAGGACAGGCCUGGGUGCGAAUGAAAUCAAGGAUGGCUGGCAAUCUGACUUGGAGUGGGAAAUUACUUGGUUUCUGAAGUAGUGCUGAACAGUUACCCCUUCCCCAACCCGCCCCCCCCCAUAGCUCCUGGCUUGCCACCCUCUAUAUGUGUAUCUCUGCAGUUGUAUGGUUCCAUGGUCUGUUAUUGGGGUGAGAGAAAUGGCUAUGUGCACGGAUGAGAACUGUUUUCUGUCAACGUGUGGGUCUCUCUGCUUUGUUCACUUGUCUCUUCCGUAAAUAUUCACAAAUAAAAUGAUCCAAGAUCAAUGGCUCUCCGGUCUC